AGGAAGGUAGUGUAGUUAACACCUGCAUUAUUUGACGUUACCUACAGAAGAAGCACCGGCUAACUCCGUGCCAGCAGCCGCGGUAAUACGGAGGGUGCGAGCGUUAAUCGGAAUUACUGGGCGUAAAGCGCAUGCAGGCGGCCUGUUAAGUCAGAUGUGAAAGACCCGGGGCGUUAACCUCGGAAUUGCAUUUGAAACUAGGCAGGCUAGAGUCUUGUAGAGGGGGGUAGGAAGUUUCAGGUGUAGCGGUGAAAUGCGUAGAGAUCUGAAGGAAUACCAGUGGCGAAGGCGGCCCCCUCGGACAAAGACUGACGCUCAGAUGCGAAAGCGUGGGGAGCAAACAGGAUUAGAUACCCUGGUAG
rnacentral:rRNA from 1 species